CCGAGUUCCUGCGCUGCUGGGAGCAACGUUCCAGACAUGCAAGCUGCAUCUGAGGAAACCUUUGAGGCGAGAAGCGAAAAUCCAUCAACCAACGCUGGGCAACAGAAGCCUGCAGAGUGUUCCGACUAAACUCGAUCUCUUGCUGACCAGAAAAGAGCAGACAUACAUGGUGGCUUUCCCCCAGCAUCAACUCGCAAUGAUGAAGGCUGCCCCAGACCUCUAAAAGAGGAUUUGACUUCUGCAGGACACCACCGCCUUUCCCGGUGGCUUUGGGUCUGCAUCUUCGGCGGAUAACCGUUGCACGUGCCGUAUCUCUUCGACUAUCGCACGUUUCGCCGCUCAUCUAUAAACUGCCGUGGUCUCCAGUGUGACGUCAGCGAGCCGUGGACCAGGAUUGGCUGCCUGAAAGAUCCGCCGACUACAAAAGGAACUGUGCCUCACCGCUGAUCCUCACUUGGCAGCAGCGGCUGUGCCGACCGGUUCACUAAAUCUGCGCAUUUGGUACACAGGUUUGUGCAAUCAUUUGUAGCCAAUUUUUAUUUCAUUUUAUUUUUUUAUUUUUCCCUGCCGCUGCUGCCAAGCUCUUGUACAAGUGUUUGCUGAACUCCUAAUUUGAAAUGCCUUCUUAAGUGACAAAGCUGUUGAAAGAUUUUAAACAAGAAAUGCGAGAUAUGCGCUGUGCACUAGAGAAAGAACUUCGAAAAGAAUAUAAAGACCUGGAAAAAUCCGUAGAUUUCUUUAGUGAACAGUUUGAUGCUAUGGCUGAGCGCAGUGCAAAAUUGAAAAAGGAAAACUCAGCGCUAAAGAAAGGAAAGGCCGCACUAUCACAGGAAUGCGAAGGACUGAAACAACAACUAUCUGACCUUGAAGACCGGGUGACAAAACAAGAACAGUACUCGAGGAACCGGAACAUUGAGAUUAAAGGUGUUCCGGUAAG